rnacentral:rRNA from 1 species
UACGUAGGGACCAAGCGUUGUUCGGAUUUACUGGGCGUAAAGGGCGCGUAGGCAGCUUAACAAGUCACUUGUGAAAUCUCCGGGCUUAACUCGGAACGGCCAAGUGAAACUGUCAAGCUAGAGUGCAGAAGGGGCAAUCGGAAUUCUUGGUGUAGCGGUGAAAUGCGUAGAUAUCAAGAGGAACACCUGAGGUGAAGACGGGUUGCUGGGCUGACACUGACGCUGAGGCGCGAAAGCCAGGGGAGCAAACGGG